UACGAAGGGGGCUAGCGUUGCUCGGAAUCACUGGGCGUAAAGCGCACGUAGGCGGAUUGCUAAGUCAGGGGUGAAAUCCUGGAGCUCAACUCCAGAACUGCCUUUGAUACUGGCGAUCUUGAGUCCGGGAGAGGUGAGUGGAACUGCGAGUGUAGAGGUGAAAUUCGUAGAUAUUCGCAAAGAACACCAGUGGCGAAGGCGGCUCACUGGCCCGGUACUGACGCUGAGGUGCGAAAGCGUGGGGAGCAAACAGG
rnacentral:rRNA from 1 species